ensembl:lncRNA
CACCACUCACCCCCUGCCCGGAAGGUUCCUCUUUCGUACCCCCCGCCCUGCCAGCGGCCGCGCUACGACCCCUGGGACUUGUAGUCUCUGCUCCGCCCCCGGGAGGCGCCGGUGGGAGCGGCCUCUGGCCAGAAACUACAACUCACGGCGUCCCUCGCGAGGGCCCGCCAGGUGCAUCCGGUCCUCGAGUGGUCGCGAGCUAAGGAAGGCACGUAUGGAGCACGCUAGAAGUGUAGCUGCGCUUUAGCUACUUGGUUCAGGCCGGGGAACAAUGAAGACUACGUUCCCCAGGAUACCGUGCGCGGAGUUUGUCUUGGCCGUUGCUAGGAGACGUAAGCUGUUGCGGAUGGGGCUCCGAGAAAAGUGUGGGCCUCCGGUGUGGGGUGCAGGGUCCGGGCUGCAGGACUCGGUCCAGAUUCCCAGGGCAUGGCCUGGGGUCCCGCGCCCAGGUCCCAGGCAUCUUCGGGUUUCAAGCCUUUAGCGGAGCAGACGCCCCCUGGAAAAUUAAGGCCUCCGGUGGAGUUUGCACAGGCACGUACCGAUCUCCGGGCCACAAGUUCUCCAGGGCCUCACUGCCACACUUUCCUCUAGCUGCUCCAUCUUCACAGGCUAGAAACUUCUCUCACCUCACCCUUCCAACACCCAAUUCCAGCUUCCCAGAGGGGGAAAAAAACCCUUCAAAUGUGAGUAGUGAUUGCCUCUAAAAAUUAUACUGGCUUUUUAAUUUUUAUUUAUUUAUUUAUUAAAUUCUUUUAUUGGUACAUUUUAGGUAUACACUACGUUUACAUUUAUCAUCAGGUGCUUGUACCUGAACAUGAUGUAUCUUGGUUCUUUUUU